CCGGCUUGGGGGGAAGUUAUAAAAUCGCGUGGUAGUCGAACAGUCUGGGAUGGCUGGCCGUAGACGGUGAUAGCCCGGUAGGUGAAACUGCGUGGUCUUCCGGUGGCAUGUCCCGAGUAGCGCGGGGCUCGUGGAAUCUCGUGUGAAUCUGCCAGGACCACCUGGUAAGCCUGAAUAUUCCUCGGUGACCGAUAGUGCACGAGUACCGUGAGGGAAAGGUGAAAAGUGCCCCGGUGAGGGGUUGUGAAAGAGUACCUGAAACCAUGUGCCUACAAGCCAUCAGAGCCUGUUCACAAACUUGUUUGUGAUGCCGGGUGAUGGUGUGCCUUUUGAAGAAUGAGCCUGCGAGUUGUGGUGUGUGGCGAGGUUAACCCGUGUGGGGGAGCCGUAGGGAAACCGAAUCCGAACAGGGUGUUGCCAUUGAUUUGGUAGAUAGUCGCAUGCUGCAGACCCGAAGCGGGGUGAUCUACCCAUGGGCAGGUUGAAGCGCGGGUAAGACCGUGUGGAGGGCCGAACCCACCAGGGUUGAAAACCUGGGGGAUGAUCUGUGGGUAGGGGUGAAAGGCCAAUCAAACUCCGUGAUAGCUGGUUCUCCCCGAAAUGCAUUUAGGUGCAGCGUCACGUGUUGUGUUUGCUGGAGGUAGGGCUCUGGUUGGCUGAUGGGCCCGACAAGGUUACUGACGUCAGCCAAACUUCGAAUGCCAGUCAAAUUUCAGCGUGGCAGUGAGACUGCGGGGGAUAAGCUUCGUAGUCGAGAGGGAAACAGCCCAGAUCGCCGGUUAAGGCCCCUAAGUGUGUGCUUAGUGGUGAAGGAUGUGGAGUUGCUGUGACAACCAGGAGGUUGGCUUAGAAGCAGCCAUCCUUGAAAGAGUGCGUAAUAGCUCACUGGUCAAGUGAUUCCGCGCCGAGAAUGUAGCGGGGCUCAAGUACACCGCCGAAACCGCGACGGUGACCGGGGAUUCGUCUUUGGUUGCCGGGUAGGGGAGCGUCCCUCACAGCGUUGAAGCAGCCGGGUGACCGUGUUGUGGAGUGUGGGGGAGUGAGAAUGCAGGCAUGAGUAGCGAAUCCAACGUGAGAAUCGUUGGCGCCGAUUGACUAAGGGUUCCUGGGGCAGGUUCAUCCGCCCAGGGUGAGUCGGGGCCUAAGGCGAGGCCGACAGGCGUAGUCGAUGGACAACGGGUUGAUAUUCCCGUACCCGUGCACACGCGCCCAGACCGAACCCCCGGACACUAACCGUGGUGAAGCCGGCUGGAUCUCCUUCGGGGGACCGGCGGGUGGAUGGCGGGACCUGAUGGGGUUGUAGGUGAGUGAUGGGGUGACGCAGGAGGGUAGCUCUACCAGGUGAUGGUUUCCUGGGGUAAGCCUGUAGCCCGACCGGUAGGCAAAUCCGCCGGUCAUCAGGGGUGAGGGGUGAUGCCGAGCCGAUUUUGGUGAAGUGAGUGAUCCCGUGCUGCCGAGAAAAGCCUCUAGCGAGUGUGUGUGCGGCCCGUACCCGAAACCGACGCAGGUGGUCAGGUAGAGAAUACCGAGGCGAUCGGGUGAACCGUGGUUAAGGAACUCGGCAAAUUGUCCCCGUAACUUUGGGAGAAGGGGAGCCCCGUCCGGUGAACCCACAUGCUGGGGGAGCGGGGUGGGGUCGCAGAGGCCAGGGGGAAGCGACUGUUUACUAAAAACACAGGUCCGUGCGAAGUCGUAAGACGCUGUAUACGGACUGACGCCUGCCCGGUGCCGGAACGUUAACAGGACCGGUUAGCCCUUCGGGGUGAAGCUGAGAAUGUAAGCGCCGGUAAACGGCGGUGGUAACUAUAACCAUCCUAAGGUAGCGAAAUUCCUUGUCGGGUAAGUUCCGACCUGCACGAAUGGCGUAACGACUUCCCCGCUGUCUCAACCACGGGCCCGGUGAAAUUGCAUUACGAGUAAAGAUGCUCGUUACGCGCAGCAGGACGGAAAGACCCCGGGACCUUCACUACAGCUUGGUAUUGGCGUUUGGGGCGGUUUGUGUAGGAUAGGUGGGAGACCGUGAAGCGGUGACGCUAGUUACCGUGGAGUCGUUGGUGAAAUACCACUCUGGUCGUUUUGAACGUCUAACCCGCGCCCCUUAUCGGGGUGGGGGACAGUGCCUGGUGGGUAGUUUAACUGGGGCGGUUGCCUCCUAAAGGGUAACGGAGGCGCCCAAAGGUUCCCUCAGCCUGGUUGGCAAUCAGGUGUUGAGUGUAAGUGUAUAAGGGAGCUUGACUGUGAGACCGACGGGUCGAGCAGGUGCGAAAGCAGGGACUAGUGAUCCGGCACUCCCGUGUGGAAGGGGUGUCGCUCAACGGCUAAAAGGUACCCCGGGGAUAACAGGCUGAUCUUGCCCAAGAGUCCAUAUCGACGGCAAGGUUUGGCACCUCGAUGUCGGCUCGUCGCAUCCUGGGGCUGGAGUUGGUCCCAAGGGUUGGGCUGUUCGCCCAUUAAAGCGGCACGCGAGCUGGGUUUAGAACGUCGUGAGACAGUUCGGUCCCUAUCCGCUGCGCGCGCAGGAGACUUGUGAGGGCCUGUCCCUAGUACGAGAGGACCGGGAUGGACGGACCUCUGGUGUGCCAGUUGUACCGCCAGGUGCACGGCUGGUUGGCCACGUCCGGACGGGAUAACCGCUGAAAGCAUCUAAGCGGGAAGCCUUCCUCAAGAUGAGGUCUCCCACCAACUAGAUUGGGUAAGGCCCCCGGGAGACCACCGGGUUGAUAGGCCAGACAUGCAAGCGUGGCAACACGUUCAGUGGACUGGUACUAAUAGGCCGAGGACUUAACCAA
rnacentral:rRNA from 1 species